UACGUAGGGGGCAAGCGUUAUCCGGAUUUACUGGGUGUAAAGGGUGCGUAGGCGGACUGUCAAGUCAGCGGUAAAAUUGAGAGGCUCAACCUCUUCCCGCCGUUGAAACUGGUGGUCUUGAGUGGAUGAGAAGUACGCGGAAUGCGUGGUGUAGCGGUGAAAUGCAUAGAUAUCACGCAGAACUCCGAUUGCGAAGGCAGCGUACCGGCAUCCAACUGACGCUGAGGCACGAAAGCGUGGGGAUCAAACAGG
rnacentral:rRNA from 1 species